rnacentral:rRNA from 1 species
CCUACGGGUGGCAGCAGUAGGGAAUCUUCCGCAAUGGGCGAAAGCCUGACGGAGCAACGCCGCGUGAUCGAAUGAAGGCCUUCGGGUUGUAAAGAUCUGUUGACAGGGACGAAUAAGCAAUGCGAAUAGUUUUGUGUAUGACGGUACCUGUUUAGAAAGCUCCGGCUAACUACGUGCCAGCAGCCGCGGUAAUACGUAGGGAGCAAGCGUUGUCCGGAUUUAUUGGGUUUAAAGGGUGCGUAGGCGGAUUUUUAAGUCAGCGGUAAAAUGUCCGGGCUCAACCCGGGCCGGCCGUUGAAACUGGGGAUCUUGAGUGGGCUAGAAGUAUGCGGAAUGCGUGGUGUAGCGGUGAAAUGCAUAGAUAUCACGCAGAACUCCGAUUGCGAAGGCAGCAUACCGGGGCCCGACUGACGCUGAGGCACGAAAGCGUGGGGAUCGAACAGGAUUAGAUACCCUUGUAGUC